AAUUACUAGUUCAACCAAUAUCCCUUAAUUUCUUAUUCACUUGACAGCCCACCCACCUCAGUGUUGACUUCCUAAAAUAAAAUAGGAGCAGACUUUUCUUAUCCGCUUGCAUUUUGUUCUGAUUUCUUCUGAAGCUAUUCUUCUUCUUGUUAUAAACAAAGCAGCUAAUGGAGGGUAUUGAGGGAGAAAGACUCGUCUCACUUUCAACUUCUGCUAAGAUUUUGUUAGACAAGUUUUCUUCUAGUGAGUUCGUCAACAUCUUUCGACACGCAAAGCUUGACGUUUCACUCUUGAUAAAUAUGAAGACAACACUUUUGAGGGUUCUAAUUCUACUUAAUGAUGAUGCUGCUGCUGCUGAUAUCAAGGAUAUGCUGGGAUAUGCUGUCUUUGAAGUUCACAAUCUGUUUAACCAAAUCAAUAUUGAGGCGUUCAGCUGCAAAGAUGGAGCUUACUAUCAAUUAAUAAAUCCUAAUUAUCAGGUUCUGAAAAAUCUUUCUGCUCGCUUCAAAUGGUUUAAUGGAGUGAUUAAUUCAAAAUUGCAAAAAAUAAUUGAAUUAUUAGAGUUAUUGAGUUCAGGAGAUGGACAGAAAGGUGCAUUAGUUGUUUCCAAUCCCAGCCAUGUUUUGGCUGAUGAAUCUUGUAUUUAUGGUAGAGAUAGUGAUAAAAACAAACUUAAACAUCUUUUGUUGUCUAGUGAUAGUGAAAUAAGAAUUAUUUCGAUUGCGGGUAUGGCAGGGAUUGGUAAAACAACCGUUGCUAAACUCAUUUACAAUGAUUCCCAAGUAAGGGACAAAUUUGAGUUAAUAGUGUGGGUACGUCUCUUAAGAUAUGUUGAUGAUUCAAGUGUUUUUGAAACCAUUCUUGAAUCUAUUACAUCACAAAAAACCAGUAAUGUUAACUUGAAUACAAAAAGAAAUGACACAAGUAAGGUGAAUACCAUGUACCCAAAUUUUUUGCUAGUAUUGGAUGACGUGUGGGAUGCAAGAUCCGUCAAUUGGAUAUUACUGAUGGACAUCUUUAAUGUGGUGGAAACUGGAAGUAGGAUCAUCAUCACUACACGAGAUGAAAGAGUUCCAAUAUCCAUGCAAACCUUUUUUUAUGUCCACUAUAUGAGACAUCUGGAAACAGAAGAUUGCUGGUCUUUAGUUGCCAGACAUGCAUUUGGAGCAUUGGACAACCAAAAACGGUCUGAUCUAGAAGAAAUUGGUAGAGAAAUUGCAAAAAAAUGUGACGGAUUACCAUUAGCUGCAAUAUCAGUUGGGGCUCUUCUUCAUACUGAAUUGUCUGUAGAUAACUGGAAGUAUGUGCUAGGAGUUAACAUUGGGGAAUUGAUAGAUUAUGAGGUCCAAGCCGGUCUACAAUUGAGCUACUUCUAUCUUUCGACUCCUUUAAAACGCUGCUUUGCAUAUUGUUCAAUUUUUCCAAAGGAGUCCAUCUUAGAAAAAAAGAGGGUAGUUCAGUUGUGGAUUGCAGAAGGCUUAGUAGAAUCUUCCACAAGUCAGGCAAGUUCGGAAAAAGUUGGGGAAGAAUACUUUGAUAUACUAGUGUCAAGGUCGUUAAUACAGAGACGAUCUAUUGAUGGCGAGGAAGCAAGGUUUGAAAUGAAUAACUUCACCCAUGAUUUAGCCUCAAGGGUUUCAUAUCCAUACUGUAUCAGGUUUGACAAACAAAUCUUACAUGAAAGGGUACAUACUUUGUCAUACAAUAGAGAGAGAUAUGAGUCAUUUAAUAAAUUUGAUAAAUUGUUUGGUUUUAAAGAUUUGCGUACCUUUCUAGCAUUGCCAUUACAGGGACAAUUUCCUCUUUGUUUGCUAGCGAACAAGGUAGUACAUGACUUGCUGCCAACAAUGAAACAGUUACGUGUGUUGUCUUUGUCAAACUACAAGAGUAUCACUGAGGUUCCCAACUCUAUUGGAAAUUUGUUAUACCUGCGGUACUUAAAUCUUUCUCAUACUGAGAUUGAAAGGCUGCCUUCUGAAACAUGCCAGCUUUACAAUCUUCAGUUCUUGUUGUUGUCAGGAUGUAAAAGGUUCAUUGAAUUGCCAGAGGACAUGGGAAAAUUGGUUAAUCUAUGCCACCUUGACGUUAGUGACACUGCAUUGAGGGAGAUGCCCGUACAGAUAGCUAAACUACAAAAUCUGCAUACUUUGUCUGAUUUUGUUGUCAGCAAACAUAAUGGUGGAUUGAAGGUUGCAGAGCUAGGAAAAUUUCCCCACCUAAAUGGAAAAAUUUCCAUCUCACAACUACAAAAUGUUAAGGACCCCUCUGAAGCUUUUCAAGCCAAUUUGAAGAUGAAAGAGAGAAUACACGACUUAACUUUAGAAUGGGACUGUGGUAGUACUUUUUCUGAAUCAGAAGUUCAAUGUGUUGUACUUGAACAUUUGCAACCUUCAACAAAUUUGAAAAGUCUCACCAUCAAAGGCUAUGGUGGAAUCAGCUUUCCAAAUUGGUUGGGUGAUUUUUCAUUUAGCAACAUGGUGUAUUUAAGGAUCUCAAAUUGUGAUAAUUGUUUAUGGCUUCCACCGCUCGGUCAAUUGAGUAAUCUGAAAGAACUCAUAAUUGAAGAGAUGCAAUCAGUACAAGCAAUUGGUACUGAGUUCUAUGGAAGUGAUGUUUCUUCAUUUCAACCAUUUCCCUCCUUGGAGAUCCUUCCCUUUGAGGAUGUGCAAGAGUGGGAGGAACGAAACUUGAUUGGAGGUACGAAUACAAAGUUUCUUAGUCUAAAAACUUUGUCACUAAGUAGGUGCCCGAAACUGAGUGUAGGAAACAUAAUUGACAAAUUUCCUUCCUUAUCUAAAAUGGAGUUAAGAGAAUGUCCUCUACUGGUGCAGCCGAUCCCAUCAUCAAAUCAUGUAUUCAACCAGCUGAUGUUCCCUUUGAAUUCUCUUCGACAGUUGACCAUAGAAGGCUUCCCAUCUCUGACGUCUCUCCCAACAGAUGGUCUACGGAAAACCUUGAAAUUUCUCAUAAUAAGUAAUUGUGAGAAUCUAGAGUUCCUUCCUGAUGAAGACUUGCACAAUUACACAUCGCUCGAGGAAUUGAAAAUAUCUUAUAGCUGUAAUUCAAUGAUAUCAUUUACCUUGGGUGCUCUUCCUGUCCUCAAGAGUUUGUUUAUUGAGGGUUGUAAAAAUCUGAAAUACACAUUAAUUGGAGAAGGAGCGUCGGAAAAGAGUCUCUCAUUUCUUAGAAGCAUCAAAAUAUGGGAUUGUAAGGAAUUGGAGUCAUUUUCACUAAGUGGAUUGCCUACUCCAAACCUUGUUUAUAUUGCAAUAUGGAAGUGUAAUAAGCUUCAUUCACUACCUUCAGGAAUGAACACUCUAACUGGCCUUCAAGAAAUGGAAAUUGAUAAUCUACCAAAUCUUAAAUAUUUUGUCAUAGAUGAUUUGCCUAUCAGUUUACAGGAACUGACUGUUGGCUCUGUUGGAGGGAUUAUGUGGAAGUAUACUAAGCCAACUUGGAAACAUCUCACUUGUCUUUCAGUGUUGAGAAUAAACGGCGAUGAUACGGUGAACACGCUGAUGGUGCCAUUACUACCAGCAUCGCUUGUGAUGCUAUGCAUCCGUGGUUUUAAUGGUACAAGAAUUGAUGGGAAGUGGCUUCAACAUCUCACCUCUCUCCAAAAGCUUGAGAUUGUUAAUGCUCCCAAACUCAAUUCGUUGCCAAAAAAAGGAUUGCCUACAUCUCUUUCAGUGCUAAUUAUGGACCGUUGUCCAUUACUAGAAGCAAGUGUGCGGAGGAAGCAAGGGAAAAAGUGGCGUAACAUUGCUCACGUUCUCUCCAUAGUUAUCGAUGGCGAACUGAUCACAUGAGUUUCCUAUUUGGCCCAAAUAGGUGCUACCAUUGAGUAGAAUUCGCCAAUUGUGUGUGUCUGUGUGUUGCUGCUGAAGUGGAUUGCUCAUGAAGGUAACAUACUUCUCCAAUACCGGUGACCUGUUUUCCACUUCUCCAAUUCUGUCAAUGAGCCUCAAUUUUAACUCCAUUAGCUACUUUCACCCUAUCUUGCCAGCAAAGAGGUUUACGAGAGUAUUCUGCAUCAUAAUUGUAUUCAAAGUGAGUAUCACCUUAUUGUAAAUUUAGACUCUAAAGUAAACAGAAAUAAAGGGUUUUGAGGUAUCUGGCAUCGCAGCCGCAUUUUCCUGCAAUUUGUUGUUUGCAAGGUAAAAGCAUAAUCAGGAGAUGCAUUAACUAAUAUAUUUGCUAAAGUUUUAUUUUGAUAUACCAUACGUGAUAAAUGUUGGUCUAGUGAACCAUUGCAGACAUAUUCAUAAACAAGAAGCCUAUGGUUUCCUUCAGAACAUGA